GUAGUAAGUAGUUUAAGGAAAACAGUAGAUUGUGGUUCUAUAGAUGGGGUAUGUUGCUCUUACUAGU
rnacentral:tRNA from 1 species